ensembl:miRNA gga-mir-12214 gga-mir-12214
AGAAGAGCAUUUAAAUGUGUGCUUACAAACGAAACACACAUUUCAGUGCUUCCCUGAA